rnacentral:rRNA from 1 species
GACGAACGCUGGCGGCGUGCUUAACACAUGCAAGUCGAACGGAAAGGCCCUGCUUUUGUGGGGUGCUCGAGUGGCGAACGGGUGAGUAACACGUGAGUAACCUGCCCUUGACUUUCUGAUAACUUCAGGAAACUGGGGCUAAUACCGGAUAGGAUCUCCUGCUGCAUGUUGGGGGUUGGAAAGUUUCGGCGGUUGGGGAUGGACUCGCGGCUUAUCAGCUUGUUGGUGGGGUAGUGGCUUACCAAGGCUUUGACGGGUAGCCGGCCUGAGAGGGUGACCGGGGACAAUGGGACUGCGAUACGGACCAGACUGCAAUGGGACGCAGCGGGCGGGAGUAUUGCACAAUGGGCGGAAGCCUGAGACGGCAACGCUGCGUGCGGGAUGACGGCUUUCGGGUUAUAAACCGCUUUCGCCUGUGACGAAGCGUGAGUGACGGUAAUGGAUAAAGAAGCAACGGCUAACUACGUG